AGCGAACGCUGGCGGCAGGCUUAACACAUGCAAGUCGAACGGGCGUAGCAAUACGUCAGUGGCAGACGGGUGAGUAACGCGUGGGAACGUACCUUUUGGUUCGGAACAACACAGGGAAACUUGUGCUAAUACCGGAUAAGCCCUUACGGGGAAAGAUUUAUCGCCAAAAGAUCGGCCCGCGUCUGAUUAGCUAGUUGGUGAGGUAACGGCUCACCAAGGCGACGAUCAGUAGCUGGUCNGAGAGGAUGAUCAGCCAC
rnacentral:rRNA from 1 species